UACAGAGGGUGCGAGCGUUUGUUCGGAAUUACUGGGCGUAAAGCGCACGUAGGCGGCUUUGUAAGUUAGAGGUGAAAGCCCGGAGCUCAACUCCGGAACUGCCUUUAAGACUGCAUCGCUUGAAUCCAGGAGAGGUGAGUGGAAUUCCGAGUGUAGAGGUGAAAUUCGUAGAUAUUCGGAAGAACACCAGUGGCGAAGGCGGCUCACUGGACUGGUAUUGACGCUGAGAUACGAAAAGCGUGGGGGAGCAAACAGG
rnacentral:rRNA from 1 species